GAACGCUUGCGCCUAUAUGCUAAAACUGAAACCGUACGGAGAUGCUCAGCGUGGCCCCUGCACCAGGACAACACCCACAUUUGCAAAGGGUUCCACAUAAAG